GACGAACGCUGGCGGCGUGCCUAAUACAUGCAAGUAGAACGCUGAAGGAGGAGCUUGCUUCUCUGGAUGAGUUGCGAACGGGUGAGUAACGCGUAGGUAACCUGCCUGGUAGCGGGGGAUAACUAUUGGAAACGAUAGCUAAUACCGCAUAAGAGUAGAUGUCGCAUGACAUUUGCUUAAAAGGUGCAAUUGCAUCACUACCAGAUGGACCUGCGUUGUAUUAGCUAGUUGGUGGGGUAACGGCUCACCAAGGCGACGAUACAUAGCCGACCUGAGAGGGUGAUCGGCCACACUGGGACUGAGACACGGCCCAGACUCCUACGGGAGGCAGCAGUAGGGAAUCUUCGGCAAUGGACGGAAGUCUGACCGAGCAACGCCGCGUGAGUGAAGAAGGUUUUCGGAUCGUAAAGCUCUGUUGUAAGAGAAGAAUGAGUGUGAGAGUGGAAAGUUC
rnacentral:rRNA from 1 species